rnacentral:lncRNA from 10 species
GUAAAAACAGCAAUUACUUUUGCACUCACCUAAUAGAUUCAUUUGGAAGCAAGGACUACAAAAUAUUUUUAAUGUAAAAUGUUUAUUUAGUGACACUUAUUCUGUAGUUCUAUACUCUAACGUAAUCCCUUUAAGGACUUUCUAUUGCAGAAUCAUCUUCUUACCUUAGAGGUCAAGCCUAAAACUUUAUCUGCCCAGUAUCAGCUUUUUGCAAUGUAAGAUCACUCUUCCUUCUCAGUGAGAGGGGCAAAAAGACUAGAAAUGUCAUAAAGAUUUAAGAAAUGAACCAGAUAACCAAAUCUUUACUAAAGAUUCUAUUAGUAACAAACAUUAAUAAUAAAGGCAAUGGUACAAAAAGUUAUGCAAAACCACAAAUCAUGCUCAACAGCCAAUAAGAUCUUUCAGAGGCCAGAAAGAUCAUCAGAAAAAGGUCACAUUGGUGAGGACAUGAGAAUACAAAGAUAAAAGUGUGUAACCUUGAUAAAGGAACGCAGGGAAAGAAGUCUAAGUUCAAAUGGAGAAAAAGAGUAAACUCUUAUCUACUAACGUCAGGCAGUUCUAAAGACCAGCAGAGGUAUGGCUCAUGAGCAGGUCAAGCUAGAUUAAUGAGCCAGGGAAAGGCAAAUACCCACUGUUGCCACCAUGAACGUUAAUCUCCCUAUUUUCUGAGUAUGCUCUGAGAAUACUAUAUUAAUAUCAUCACUUUUUCUUCUCCAUGCUCAAGAAUGUCUUUCUCUCAGUUCUCUAUCAUCCAAAUCCAUUUAUCUUUGAAGAUGUAUCUUCUCCAGAUAGCAGUCAGCUUUUCUCUAAACCUAUAAUAUUCAUUGAUUGUACUAUAUGCUUUGGUACUUAAGAAUUUACUCUUAUAUGAUCUGAGGAUGUGUGUGUGAGUUUACUCUCAAAUUGCUUAUAAAUAAGUUUUAGUUUCUCAUUGUCUGUAAUAUGAUAUAUCUCAUAAUAUUCACUGUCAGUAUAUGCCCAACAGAUAUUUCUAGAAUUAAAUUAAUUGAAUUUAUUAAGACCUACCAACAAAUAAAAGUAACUUCCCUGCCAUCAAAAACAAUAGAAAAAAGUAUUCAUACCAUAUGAUUAUUGUUAUUUAUUUAUUACUAUUUUUAAAUUGUAUUAUAAUAUAUAUUACCAUUAUUUAAAAUGUUUAAGUUAGCAUAAAAACUAUUAUUUAAAUUGCUUUUGCUAUAUGUAAAAAAUAUGAGAGCAAAAAUAAAAGGUAGCAAACAAAAACAUUAGUAAGUUGUAUAUUAUUUUGACUAGAAAAGCCAACUACCAAAUUAAAAUGUUUAACAAAAGCAUUAAUAAAAUGAAUAAAUAGAUGAAUAUUUUUAAAAAUCUGUAGUUUCAUUGUAUGCCAUCAUCAUUUGAGAGACGUGACAGGAUCCCAUUCACAAUAAGAUAAAAAUACAUAAAAUAUUUAAGAGUAAUUG